UUGAACAACUUUUAUUAUACGUUUAGUGUUCUCUAUACAAAAGAAAUCAGUUUUUUUUACAGUGAUUCAAAAAAAAACUCUGAAUAAUUUGGCCUUUUCAUUGCUCAUGCAGUCAGUUUAUAAGUCCAUGUAUUAGAUGGCCCUCCACGGCCCAGUCGUCCGUGCUGAAGGUCGUGCGCAACACCCUCAGAAACACAACUGUCGCUGACAACACUGGUUAAUGCAAAACAGCUCGCAGGGAGGAAAGAACACAGUGUGAGAGGGGUUAAAACAACUCUGCCGUGCGAGUUAAAUACGGAACCAAUGGAGAAAGGUCAGACCAACUCAGUGUGGGUGUGCGGGAAGGGAUGGAGACAUCGGGGAAAAAUUGCCCCACUGAAAGGAACAAAUUGGAAAAUGUGUGUGUGGGGGGCAGGGCAAGAGGUCCCUGGGGCUCAGCAAGGGUUGGGGGUGGGACCAGGACAGAGGGCAGCCACGUCACAGGCAACUGGUGCUCAGCGAAGGAGUGUGAAGAAGUUGGCAGAGAGCCAGGAGCCGGGCAGAGGGACAACACUGACUGAGGACAUCGAAUCUGGGAGUCAGAAAAAAGAGCAGGGCAGGGUCAUCUGAUCUGCAUCGUUUUCGAAAAAGAAACAGAGUCGUGCACAAAUUUCUGGUUUUCUUCUCCCAGAUUUUUGUGUUUAUUGCUUCACUGAAGUCUUUACAUGUGCUGAACUCCAGCCCAGCAAUUCCCAGAGUGGCAAUUCCCACGGGCCCUGCUGCCCUCAGCACCCUGCGGCCAAGGGCGGGGUGGACUGAGGGCUCUCCACGCCCUCAUCUCCGAGGGACAGCGUGCGGCGGGCCCAACAUGUUAGGAAGCGGAGACCACUCCAGGGAAUAGUCCAGGCUUCACAGUGACAGACACCCAUCAGCUCGUCACUCUUCUCCUGGCCUGGGUCUGCCCUUGACCGCGCAGCCAGGUCCACCACAGGCUGGCAGAGACUGACUGGUGUUGGACUCAGAAAAAUCCUUUGUGUCUUUCCUUUGGGGAGGAACACGGGGGCUGUGGGAGAAGUGCUACAGAGGCAUGAGAGGGUGCACCGGCAGGAAACACCUCCUGUGUUUCCAGGGAGGCAGCUGCGGUCAGAUGGGGGAACACUGGACAAGGAGUCAGAAGGCCCGGGUUCAAGCCCUACCCUCACCUGGACUCACCAGCUGUGUGACUAGGGGGCAAGUCCCUUCACUCCUUGGGUUAGUAUCCUUGUCUUUACAAGUCAUUGAUUCCUUCGCAUGCUGAAAUCUGAACUGUCCUAAACCGGACGCCUUUGUAUCUAUUUCCUUUCCAUCCUAUCACUACGGAACAUCCACCUAAUGCUAACAUACUGAUAGAGGAGCGCUGGUUUUGGCUUGAGACACUGGUGGGGUCUCGUGGCUUCCCUGGAUGGCCGUCCUCCUUCCGCUCUUAUCCUGCUCUGGACCUGUCUCAGGAAGGCCCGUUCUCCAUAGGGGAGGGGAGGAAAGGGUGCUGCCCUGGCUGGGGCUGGCAGGCUGGGGACAGCCACAAGGUUGGUUCCCAGGGGGUGGCCCUGCCUGGUUCAAGGGAAGGGAGGGUGCUGCCCAGGCCACUGUGCCUCCUCCUGACAUUUCAAGCUCUUUGUUUCAUUCAGUUAAGUCCUCUGAUUUUUUUAAAUCAGGGACUCCUACCUGCUCCUCCUAAGCUACCAUGCAAAGCUCAGCCAGGACCGGCAGGUGACGUCCUUCUGGGACCUAACCGUGUGUUUGGCAGGACCUGCCCGAGAGGUGACAAAGCGUCCCGAGGGGGAGCCUCCUGGCCAGCAUCCCAGGAAUCUGCCAUCCUCCUUGGGAGAGGCGACCCCAACACCAGCCCCGCCUCACGCCCAGGAGCCUCGCCUCUCCUGGGUUAAUGCGCCACCUUCUAAAGGCCGAAGCAAAAGCGGUUAACCCCCACUGCCAGCACACAGGCUGCCUGCCACGCUCUGGGACUUGGCUCUGACCCGCACACGGCUCCAGGAGCCUCAAAGAGCUGCUGCCCGUGAUGUUCCUGGGGAAGGGUCCCUCUCCUUUGGAUCAGACUCUCUCUCGGUUCUGCCUACAGGAAUUACCCAGAUGGGGCCCAGCCUGGACCGCCUCUUUCCCCUGCCUCGAGAUGGACACUGCACGUACACAGCCCUCUGUAUCCCACCUCAAGUGGGCCUGGGUGUGGACUCACCCUCUCCAAGACAAUGUCAUAAUCUGUAUUGCUCCCCCUGACCGUGCCGCCCUGCAGGAGGGCCUUGGUCUGCUGUGUGUGCGUGUGUGGGAGUGCCCAGGCGUGGGUGCUGCGUGUGGGCAGGGAGGCAGUCCCUUAGCUGGAAAACCCACAGAUAUCCUCGGAUCUAUUUCCACCCCUUUUCUAAGGCAACUUAACUAGGAAAGCACUAUGUGGGCCCAGCUCGCAGAUGCCCCCUGCAGGGGCAGCAAUAUGGGCACUGGCUGCUCUCGGAAAGGCGGCCUCUUCUCCAGAGCUUGGGACUUGCCAGGAAGGGGGCGGGCCAGAUGCCUCCAGCCUCUUGGGACAAAGGCCACAGACAAGGGAGCUCUGGUUUUCCCGUUAGCUUAAGCUCAAUCAUCUCCUCAAAAGCAAGGUAAGGAGACAUGUCCUAUGCACCAUAACUCAGGCUGUCCCCUGGCCCUGCAGUGGUGUACUCCCAGACACGGGCCUCCCUGCUCCUGCAGGUGGGCCCAGGCCCCUCUGUGGGGAGAGGAGUGGAGACGAGGCACCGAAACUCACGUAAGUUAAGCAACUUGCCCCAAGGGGCAGAGCAAAGAGGCUCAGGAAGCAGGACUGUUGCGGCAGGUUUGGACUGCCAGCCUUGCGGACCAAGUCCUCCCUCCAAAGCGUCUCCCUUCGAGCCUGGAGCCUUGUCAGCUUAGGUACUCAGGCGCUCCCAGCCAGUGCCCACUGUGUCCCAAGACAGUUCCAGGACUGUCAGCGUUGUGAGGGCAGGGGCCACACCUCAUUAUUCACCUUGGUACCCUCGGCUCAGAGUCUGGCUCAGACUGGAUGUCCAUGAGCGUCUAAGCAACGGAUGGACAAAUGAGAGCAUGGAUGCCACAGCUCUAACGGCUGAGCACAGUGGGUGGGAGCGCAGCACAGGCAAUGGAAUUUCCAGAGUCACCGUGAGAUGACCGACACUUCUCCCCCGCAGCCAGACAGGCUGAGGCACCAAUGGUGUCGCCCUCUUCUGGCAUCGUUGUUAGUAUGUUUCAGGGUGGUUGCGUGAGAGCCCCAGUUGGCAGGGGGUGCUGGACGAUACCCCUUUCCUUCUGAGCUGGGUGGACUCUGGCGUGGGCCCCCUGGAAAAUGGACUUCCCUCUUGCUAGAAGGGCUGCCUCCCUAACCCUGCAACCUCUCUAAGCAUCCGCCAUCUUUGCUUGGGGAGAACUUUGUUCUUCAAGCCCAGGUUUCUCCGGCCUGCCAGGAGGAUGGUGAGCAUGUGGUAGUGAGGUCAGCUCUCGGCACGACAGCCUCAUGACAGGGCUGACGGCACUAUCUUCCUACAUGAAAGAGGCUGGCACAGAGCCUGGCAGGACGCAAUCGGGGAGCAAAUCCAGGCUGAGGAAUCACCUCUCCCCAAGACUCUAGGCUAGCAGAGGCCCGUCCCCAGUCACCGGCGGGGCAGCAGACCUUCUAGAGGCAGGGGCAGGGGCACGGUGACGCCCUCCUGCACUAAGAGCCUGUUUUCGGUGCACUGAGUUUCCUAGCAGGUAUGGUGCAGUAUGGAACGAGGGCCUGAGAAACUGACUUCUAUGCUCAGAUCCAGAGUGUUUUCUAGAAAGGCUGGGCCGUUAAUUCAGCUCACAGGCACACUUCCCUGACAUUCCCUUUAGAGACCUGGGCCUGGGCCGCAGGAACGCCCAGUUGUAUCCGGGCAGGUGUCGAGGAAAGCCAGGGAAGGGGACCCUGAGCUCACUCCCCAGCCCCCUGCUUGUUAGCCUGCCCCCUUUCAUCAUGCAAGAGUUGCCUCUCGGGAUUCCAGGCAGCAAACCUGGACGUGGCUUGGGCCAAAGGACAGUUACUCGCUCUCAGCUUAGAACAACAUGAUUGGCUGAGCUCUGGGCUCCGAUUUCCUACCUGCUCACAGAGCAUGUGUCUAUGGGCUUGACCUUCACCUGGCUCAUUAUCGAGUGAUGCAAGCACUGCUAAUACCUUUGUGGCUUAAACAUGUGGCAAACGAUGCUUUAGAAAGCCUCUGAAGGACAUAGCCCUGUUCCUGCCUAGGCCCCCUGGCAAGCAGCUGGAGCCUCAGCUCAGAGGCUGUGCCCGUGGCAGGUGGUCCAUUACUGGGUGUCACCUUCGCCCUCCUGAAACCGACUCCAGCUGCAGCAAUAGCUACAGUGUCACUCUGAGGCUGGAGAUCCCUCUCGGAGGCUGGAUACCUUUGGUUUCAACAAUGGAUUAGGUGGGGAGGAUGACAGCUCUCUGAGAACUGCAGGUCUGUGAGGGUCUCCAAUCUGGGGCAACGGGAUGCAGGGUGGGUGUUGAGUGGCUGCUUCGGGUUCUGCUGUGGCGCUUGCAUAGGCUGCCCCGUUCUCCUUGAGACACGUGGCUGGAGGCUUCAAGGCUUGCAGGGAGGGGUGGGGAACCUGGAACUGCAGGGACAGAUGAGAGCUGCAUAAGGCAUACGGAGAUCACUGCCUCCUCCGGGCCAGGUGUCACAGCACUGUCAACGCUGUGCCCCCUCAGGGUCUCGGGAUAUGCAAAUACCCUAAGGAAAGGACACGCUGGUCAGUCCCAGGGGCAGCAGGGCCUCAUCCACACACCACAUAAAUUUCAACGUCAUACAGAAUCGACCGAGGAGAUGAUAUCUGCUAGAGAGGAAACGGGGAGCAGUGCUUUACACCCCCAAACACACGGGCAAAGCUUGUGUCUCCCAGGGUUCCCUGCGCCUUGAGGGCAGCAGCACAGCCCCUGCCUGGGGGUGUGGCCCUCUCUCCUACAUCCUGGGUUUCACUGUGGAGGAAGGAAGUCCAAAUCCUGCUCUUCUCUUCUCUCUGAAGGUGAGCACAGCUCCCCAAGGACCAGACGCCUGAUUUUCUUCUGCUUGAGGUACACGGUCACUGGAGUUGAGGUCCUUUUCAACAGCGGCCACUCCUGCUCCUCCAGCUCUCCUUCAGAUCUGCGCUUCUUGUCCUGGACGCUCUGGAGGAAGCGGCAGGGGACAUUUCUUCAAAAGGAAAAGAAAAUGGAGACGUUGGGUCUGGACGGGAAAAUGCACAGAGCAGAAAUAAAGACAAUGAAAAGCCCCGUAAGCAACAGAGACCGGAGCCGUCCUCAUUGAACUGCCCCUCGCCGCCCUCGCCGUAGUCCACCAGGCUGUCGUCACUCUCCUGCUGCUUGAUGGUGCCAUCCAGGGAUGUCUGGCUGCCCUGCAGGGGCUUGUUGUCCUCAUCACU